AGUGAACGCUGGCGGUAGGCCUAACACAUGCCAGUCGAACGGCAGCACAGUAAGAGCUUGCUCUUACGGGUGUCGAGUGGCGGACGGGUGAGGAAUACAUCGGAAUCCACUUUUUCGUGGGGGCUAAUGUCGGAAAAUUUCUGCUAACACCACAUACAUCCUCCGGGGAAAGGCAGGCGUUCUUCUAACUUGUUGGGAUGGUAAAAGCCUACGUCGGCUAAGCUAGUUGGCGGGGCAAAGGCCCACAACGGCGACGAUCCGUAGCUGGUCUGAGAGGAUGAUCAGCCACACUGGAACUGAGACACGGUCCAGACUCCUACGGGAGGAAGCAGUGGGGAAUAUUGGACAAUGGGCGAAAGCCUGAUCCAGCCAUACCGCGUGAGUGAAGAAGGCGUUCGGGUUGUAAAGCCCUGUUGUUGGGAAAGAAGAGCAGCAGGUUAAUACCCCACUGUUCUGACGGUACCCAAAGAAUAAGCACCGUCUAACUUCGUG
rnacentral:rRNA from 1 species